UACGAAGGGGGCUAGCGUUGCUCGGAAUCACUGGGCGUAAAGCGCACGUAGGCGGAUCUUUAAGUCAGGGGUGAAAUCCUGGAGCUCAACUCCAGAACUGCCUUUGAUACUGAAGAUCUUGAGUCCGGGAGAGGUGAGUGGAACUGCGAGUGUAGAGGUGAAAUUCGUAGAUAUUCGCAAGAACACCAGUGGCGAAGGUGGCUCACUGGCCCGGUACUGACGCUGAGGCACGAAAGCGUGGGGAGCAAACAGG
rnacentral:rRNA from 1 species